rnacentral:tRNA from 1 species
GCCCAGGUGAUGAAAUGGUAGACAUGGAGGACUCAAAAUCCUCUGGUUUGCGCCGUGUGGGUUCGAGUCCCACUCUGGGCACCA